GAGGUAGAGAGGCAUUGGUCUAGGAGAUAUUUGAGGCUAUAAUGAUCAGUUUUAAUGAGAAAAUGCCUUCCCCACGAAUACGGACACCAGUGUUGGACCGCGUAGGCCAAUCCAAUAAGUUCUCGUUCAUGUGCAGGUAACUUAUGGUGUUGUUUUGUCAACUUGCGACUAAAGAAAGCCAUUGGAUGGCCAUUUUGAUGAAGCACAACACCAAUAUCACCACACGAAGCAUCACAUUCGACCACAAAUUGGAC
rnacentral:misc_RNA from 1 species